UACGUAGGGCGCAAGCGUUAUCCGGAAUUAUUGGGCGUAAAGAGCUCGUAGGCGGCUUGUCGCGUCGUCCGUGAAAACCUGCAGCUCAACUGCAGGCUUGCGGUCGAUACGGGCAGGCUGGAGUUCGGUAGGGGAGACUGGAAUUCCUGGUGUAGCGGUGAAAUGCGCAGAUAUCAGGAGGAACACCGGUGGCGAAGGCGGGGCUCUGGGCCGAUACUGACGCUGAGGAGCGAAAGCGUGGGGAGCGAACAGG
rnacentral:rRNA from 1 species